UGGGGAAUAUUGCGCAAUGGGGGCAACCCUGACGCAGCCAUGCCGCGUGUGUGAAGAAGGCCUUCGGGUUGUAAAGCACUUUAAGUGGGGAGAAAGGCCCGCUGGUUAAUAGCCAGCGGGAUUGAUGUUACCCACAGAAUAAGCACCGGCUAACUCCGUGCCAGCAGCCGCGGUAAUACGGAGGGUGCGAGCGUUAAUCGGAAUUACUGGGCGUAAAGCGCGCGUAGGCGGUUUGUUAAGUCAGCUGUGAAAGCCCCGGGCUCAACCUGGGAACUGCAGUUGAUACUGGCCGACUAGAGUACGAGAGAGGGAGGUAGAAUUCCAUGUGUAGCGGUGAAAUGCGUAGAUAUAUGGAGGAAUACCGGUGGCGAAGGCGGCCUCCUGGCUCGAUACUGACGCUGAGGUGCGAAAGCGUGGGGAUCAAACAGG
rnacentral:rRNA from 1 species